AGUAACACGUGGAUAACCUACCUAUAAGACUGGGAUAACUUCGGGAAACCGGAGCUAAUACCGGAUAAUAUUUUGAACCGCAUGGUUCAAAAGUGAAAGACGGUCUUGCUGUCACUUAUAGAUGGAUCCGCGCUGCAUUAGCUAGUUGGUAAGGUAACGGCUUACCAAGGCAACUAUGCAUAGCCGACCUGAGAGGGUGAUCGGCCACACUGGAACUGAGACACGGUCCAG
rnacentral:rRNA from 1 species